rnacentral:rRNA from 1 species
UACGUAGGCAGCAAGCGUUGUUCGGAAUUACUGGGCGUAAAGAGUGUGUAGGCGGUGCUCUAAGUUUGGUGUGAAAUCUCCCGGCUCAACUGGGAGGGUGCGCCGAAAACUGGAAUGCUUGAACGUGGGAGAGGAGAGCGGAAUUCCUGGUGUAGCGGUGAAAUGCGUAGAUAUCAGGAGGAACACCUGCGGUGUAGACGGCUUUCUGGACCAUUGUUGACGCUGAGACACGAAAGCGUGGGUAGCAAACAGG